GUCGGUGUGGCUCAGUUGGUUAGAGCGUUGGUCUCAUAAUCCAAAGGUCGAGGGUGAGCCUCUCCACCGACA
rnacentral:tRNA from 2 species